CUCUUUUCUGGUUCCUGCUUGCUGUUUACAGCCACCAUGAACUGCUGCCCAGCCAUGCCCGCCUGCCCUGGAGCCAACUGAGUGUGGACUAAAACCUCCAAAAACUGUGGAAUAUCCGCUGGUGAGGACAGUGGGGUACAUGAUGCCUUCAGUUAAGAAAGAACUCGCUGUACUGGAAAAGAGAGGAGACUGGGGUGAAUACAGAAGAGACAAAGUUUACAGGUGAGAAAAACUGAGGCUUAGGAAGAUGAAGUAAAUUGCCGACAACUCCAGAGCUAGUUACCAGCAGAUCCAGGACACCUUCCAGCCCAAACUCUUAACUGCUCACUAGGCAUAACACAUUCCACUAUUAUGAAAACUCAAAGAAAUACAGGCCCUUCCAGAAGUCUUCCCUUCAGAAAGAAGU